GGCAAUCUGUUAGGGUUUGUGUCUGUCGUGUGGAAGCUUUGUUCAUUCGUCUUUUGCAAUAAAUCUUGCUACUGCUCAGUCUUUGGGUCCACACUGCUUUUAUGAGCUGUAGCAGUCACCACGAAGGUCUGCAGCUGCACUCCUGAGGCUAGCGAGACCACGAACCCACCGGGAGGAGCGAACGACUCCAGACGCGCUGACUUAAGAGCUGUAACAGCUUACCGCUAAGGUCUGCAGCUUCACUCCUGAGCCAGAGAGACCAGGAACCCACCUAGAAGGAACAAACUCCGGACAUGCCGCCUUUAAGAGCUGUAACACUCACCGCCAGGGUCCGCAGCUGCAUUCUUGAAGUCAGUGAGACCAAGAACCCACCAAUUCCAGACACACUGUCAUCAAAAAGUGGGAUAUCUUUUUAAACAGAGAUAACAUUGCAGAAUCUUGGAGUUGGAAAUAGACCUCAGCUGGGGUUUAGUCCUGUUUUCUCCUCAGAGCAGAAGUCCUGGGAUGCCGUUCUGGACUGAUUGUCAGUUUUUUCUCCUGUCCUUGAGCUAUUCUAAUGCCAGACAUCUGUGGCUUUACACAGCCAGGCUUUCAGUUAGAGAACUUGGUUAGCUCAGGUCAACAAAUGCUGCUCUGAGAACACUGACUCCCAUGUGGGGAGACUCUGCACCUGGAGCUCCGGGAGAGCCGGCUCAGGCCUCUUCCUGCUAUCCAGGGAACUGCAGUGGCGUUGGAGGGCCUUGCUGGGGCUGGGGCUGGGGAGAAGGGAUUCCAACCCUACUGAUAAUUCGUUUGGAAACACCGGGCUGUGGAUUUCAGAAGUUCUUGGGCAGCCUGAUUACCACUGGCAGUGAGCCGGGGACGAAGCCGAAGCUAUGAGUGACAGACGGAAAGAACUGGGGGCUUUGGUGAACCAGAGAACACUUAGCUCCUCCAGCCCUGAAGCAGGCGUCACCGCAGGGCUUAUGGUCCUAAGAGCCACUUAGUUUCCUUAUUCAUUAAACUAGUUUAAUUUGGGUUUUCUGCAUCCUGGAGGACACCAAGUCGGUGUGCGGAGGGACCCUGUAGACACGUGUGCAAAGAAUAAGCCGACGAUCAUGGAAUUUCUGAUGACGCCACUGACACGUGGGAUGGAGGCCUCCUUCCCAGGGCACCCCUACACUCAUGACAAUGAAUCCUGGCUCUUAUUCACCCCUUUGGAUUUCACAAGCAAGUAGUUCUGCUCGGGAUGAGUCCCAGGAAUGGAUGCCAUGUUUGUGAACAGGGCCCACUUUCAUCUGAGCAUGUCAAUAACAGGAAAAGCCAGAUGGGCAGCAAGCCUCCACCAGCACCCCCACCACAUCUGCACUCAUACCCACCCCUCCGUGUUGGCUCCAGAGGUGAGAGCUGUUUUCUUUGUUCACCAUUUUAGGGUGAGCCCAGUGAAAGGCAGGCAGGGUGUCCAUCGGUGGAUACAUAUGGAGAUCAAGAUGCCUGACUUCCAUUCCCUACCCCAGCACACCUGCUGGCGGGAUCCAGGCACACAGCUCUCAGCACUGUGUUUGCCCUUGAACCAGUGAGGGGUCUCAGUCGCUGACUGGAGGGGGCGGAUCACGAUCCAGCAAGGCCUCUGAGUGCCAGACAGUGUGCUAAGCCCUCUGUACAGUUAGGAGAUCCCUGUGGAAGGUGAUAUCACCCCCAUUUUUAUGUUCAAGGAAAAGCAGUCCCAGAAAGGACUCGGGUUUGAGUCCCGCGGCAGUAAGUGCUGGAGGUAAUUCGAGCGCGUUUUGGCUUCCUGGCUGUUCUGUGCUCUGUCCUGUAGCCUCCAUAAAUACAGGUAGUUGGUGACCUAAAGAUUGUAAUCUUUAGCAUUUUUACAAGCCAAACAUCUGUGAAAACCACAGUAGUAUCAUUAUAAAAAUCCCAUGUAAGUAUAAAUAGUAUAGUAAAAUUAAAUAACAGCAACUCCUCUUAUUUGAAUAUAGCAGUAUUUUUAGGCCAAGGGUUGUUUUGGUCAAACAUGAUCCCUAUAUCUGGAAAACCUGGUAUUUUUGGGACAUAGUUUCCCUUAUUCUUGCUGCAAGAAUGACUUUUUCUGGAUUAAAAAAUAGACUAUGGGACUACUACCUUGUUUUUCUGUUUACAGAAGUAGGCUGACUUACGGAUGUGGGGGAAUUAUUCAUUUACGAUUAUUUCAUGAAGCCAUUCAUCUUCAGGUCUUCCUUCCAAUAAGGAAGACCUGAAGUUCAAUUAGUGGCUCCCUUACAAUCUGAGCAUAACAUGAAAUUUACAUAAAUCUCUACUUCUCUUUUGCUUUGGAUUAAUGAAAUCAAACAGGCAACUAGAAUAUGCUGCCAGUGCAGAAUAUGAAUAAAAUAAAUAAAGUAUUUACCCCAGCUGUGAUUGUUAAUUUUAGUGUAUAGUGAGACUCCUACAGUGUGGUUUGUUAUAGAUUUUUUUUCUUUUUGGUUCCUUUUUUUUUUUAAUUGAGGAAUUAUGUUUUCUGUUUUUAUCUCUUUUUUUAUGUGUGUUUUGUGGUUUAUACUCCUGGAUUUUCCUAUUAGUUUUACCCCUCCUAAAAUUCUAGCUCAUCGUACUUAGCUAUGUUUCAAUAUAUGAUUACAGUGACCCUUUAAGUGAACAGAAUGAUCCCUUUGAACCGUGGAAUAGGUGAACGACCUUUUGGAAUACACACAGACUCUGGUGCAAUGUAGCCAGAAAAACCAAACAAAUUGACAGCCAGAUGAAAAGCGAUUGGUUCAAUUGAGGUACACCUGCCAAAUCAGGGCUGCCAGCUGGGAAAUUCUUACGCAUUUUCCUAAGUGGCUGUUACAUAAAAUAUUGAGCCUGCGUGUAUCUGUUAAGUCAUCAUGGCUCUGAUAUUUAAAGAGCCUUGUUCUUUUAUUUUUUCCUUCCUGGAAUGGGGAAUCAAGAGACCAGGGUUUACAUAUUGAAAACAAGAAACCAAAUCAAACAGUGGCUUAUUCUUUAAAGUAAACAGAGCAAAGGCUAUCAGUGGCAGAUGUAACCAAGAGCUGGCUCUAUGCAGACAAAGAGGAGAUUAUGAAAACAAAAAUCUCUUCCACUGAAAUAAUUAUGUUUAAUUACUGAUCCAGGAACUGCAUUUAACGUUUUUCAUUUGCACAAAUCUUAAGGGUAAAUGAGGCUGACAAAUACUAAUCAGGAGACAGGGGAGAUUAUUUCAUGGUUUUGGGUGGGAUGAGCAUCUAAAAGCCUAUCCUUCUCUCUGGUUUUGCCGGCCUAGACCCUACGUCUCCCUCAAAGAUCUGCUGAGACCAGAACUUUGAGCCCCACUCUUCGGGGAGUGCCAGCCCAUUCUUUCCAACCUUCUUUCUUCUGCAUUUCUGAAAACCACAAAAUUGAGUUAUCACUGCGGCAACACCUUGUCACUUGGCUGAGCUCUUUCUCUUUAGCUGAUAACUUGGGGGAACAAAGCCUGGUUCCAUCCAGGGUUCAUAUUUGAAAACUAAAUAACAAAACAUAGAAUACUUGAAUGAACUCUAUUCUGUCUUGUAUAUUGUCCCUGGCAUACCAUCUGCACUGAAAGCUGCUCAGAGGCAGGGAUACUUCAUGUCUCUUUUUUCCCAGCUCCCAGCAGGAUAUUGAGUCAAUCGUGAAUGAUGGAUGGAUGGGUGGAUGGAUGAAUGGACGGAUGGAUCUGGGAUCGUGUCCAAGUGAUUGCACUGUGGUUCUUAAAGUUUAUUCAGAUAUUUGGAACAAGAUCAUAGACUAUCUCCUACAGAUAGUAAAAAAUUCAAUCCUUUAGCCAACUGGUGGAAGGAGAUCAAGGCUAUCCAUCUGUAAGAUUGCUCCAGAGUCAUGCCUGAUGCCAUUUCACAGAGAAUGUCAACCCUGCUCUUGCUUUACUGUGCGUUUCCCGUGGCAGGGCUGAUCUCUGAGAACUGUGAAGUAGUUGUUGAUUGUUGUUGUUUGGUUGUUAGAGUCUGACCCUUGUUGGAGUCAUUCCGUGUUCUAAAAAGUCUCCACUCUUUUAGAGAAAAUCACAGUGGGCAAGGGUUACAAUGGCAGCAGAAUGUUUCCUGAUGAGAUCAAUGCACCCUUCAAAAUCCCAUGACUGACCCUUCACCAAAGGUCCUAAACAGAAUACCACCAAGGAGUUAAGGACUGUCCAGUAACGCAGGUAUUGCCAAUUCACUUCUUUACCCUAAAAAACAAUUCUUGCUUUGAGACUCCAUCAGCAGUCCCUGUAAAUAUUACACAAAGCACUAAUUUUCUUCUUCUACAAAAGCAGUAAUUUCUGUCUCCUUUACUCUUUUUUUAUGAAGUUCUAUGGAGAACUGUUAAAUAUUUAAUUCCUGCUGUGUAUGAGAGAUCAGCUCUGAUUUCUAAGUACAAAACUAAACUUCAGCAAGCUAUAAGAAUAGUCUGUAGUCCUGGUGAUUGACACUGUGAUAAUAUAUCUCUAAAUGGUGACUGUGUGAACACAGUAUUACAGUCUUAAGAAAUAGAUUUGGUACAAAUAAUUAUUACUAGCUUGUGUGGUAUAUGUUGCAUGUAUGUGAUACAUGGUGUCACGUGGUGUAUGUACAUAGACCAUAUAUGAUGUGUUUAUAUAGGCGUAUAUAUGUGUAUACACACACCCUUUUCAGCCUUUUUGGAUAUGGUCUCGAUUUCUUUGCAAAACAUAUUUAUUUUUUCAUCCCAAGAAAAUAUUUGUCUUGCAGAAGUGCACUGGAAAUACUUAGGUUGUUGAUUCAAAAUAAUUAUCCUUGAAAAAAGCAUGAUUUGUGUUCAGUCUCACAGCACCAUUUGAUUGCUUCCCAUGCCCUACAGAACUAUAUUUAUAAAAGGAUUUUGUCCUUUUGCCCUUUCCAUAACUCACCAUCAACUGUGAAUCAAGUUUCAGUAACAAUGGAGGCUGUUUUCCUGAAUCAACAGGCAAGCUUUAUUGCUUUUUCUUUUUCAGGGCUUCUUUACUUGCUCAUUUUCCAGAGUUCUGCUGUUCUAGACUCUCAUUUAUAUUAAUCAGUCAGAGUCCCUCAUCUGCUUACUGAAUUUGCUGUUGCCUGGAAGAAUUUCCAAGUACUCUUUUGCAAGGAAAACAACAUAUUUUGUAGUAGGAAGUAGAAGUUGCCCACGGGCCACUUACAAUCCAACUUUCAAUCAGCAGCUUGAAUUAGAUAUUUGGAGUUAGAUUUUUUUGUGUGUCUUGUUUAUUUUAUAAAAGGACAUUCUUAUUUCUCAUUUUUGAGUUUAAGUUGGCUAAUAAAUGUAUAAUGUGACUUUCCUAAGAAGUCACAAUAUUACUUAAUAUAUAUUACUAUAUUAUAUAGUAUUUAUAUAUUAUAUAGUAUUAUAUAUAUUAUAAUAAGUAUAAUAAAUAUUUACUUAUUAUGUAUUUAUUAGCCAGUAAGGACUUCUAAAUGGCUUUCUAAAUAAAGCAGAUUUUCUUUUCUUGUAGUAAAAGCAAAUAAAAUAAGACCAAAAAUAUUUCAGAGUAUUAUCAAAUAUCCACCACACCUAUACUCCCUCAGAAGCUUCUGUUUCUCCCUCCCUGCUAUCAAUUUAGUUACAAUGUAACCUCAUUAAAAAUAGGUUCCUUUCCUCUGGGGCACCUCGUAGGAUGGCUUCCUCCAGGAAGUUCCCAAAAUAUGGGGAUGGAUAGCCGGGGUCAUCUUCUGCCAGCUUUGGUCUCUACAUGCUUAUACCCACUUCAGCCAGGUCCCACUUCCUCUAGGACUUUCCGUGGCUUGAUGCCUAGGCUGGCUGGGUCAUCGUGAAGGGGCCAGAACACAGAAUUGCAGGUAGGAAAAACCCUAAGGUUUAUGUGUGGGUAUUACCUGAAGGCUUUGAGGCAGGUGCCUCUUCUAGAUGAUCUCAGUGAGUCUCCACUCCAACUCUGGCACAGCCCACUGUGGCAGGUCUUAAGCUUCAGAGAGGUUUAGGAGUUGGCCUAGUCGCAGACAGCAGGUGGGCAAGAUGGGCAUGACUGCAGGUGAGCACGAGCCUGCCUCUCUGCAGCUUUCUUCCUGGUCCCAAUCCUUCUGGAACAGAGGUUCUUGCCCUGUCCUCCUAUCGCUGUGGUCUUAGACCUGCAGGCUCUCGAGAAGGCUCCUUUUAUACAUCUGCUGUUUACCUCCCGCAGAUGCUUGGAGCUCCAUUGGUCACUUGCCCCAUCCCUGCUGGAGGUAAAUCCUUAAGGCUCCUCAUAUCCUGCCCACCAUUCACUCACUCAUUCACUCAUUCACUCUUGUAGCCUCUUACCCACUUCAAGUCAUUUAUUACAUUCACUCACUCACUCACUCAUUCAUUCUUGUAGCCUCUUACCCACUUCAAGUCAUUUAUUACAUUCACUCACUCACUCACUCAUUCAUUCUUGUAGCCUCUUACCCACUUCAAGUCAUUUAUUACAUUCACUCACUCACUCACUCAUUCAUUCUUGUAGCCUCUUACCCACUUCAAGUCAUUUAUUACAUUCACUCACUCACUCACUCAUUCAUUCUUGUAGCCUCUUACCCACUUCAAGUCAUUUAUUACGUUCACUCACUCACUCAUUCAUUCUUGUAGCCUCUUCUUACCCACUUCAAGUCAUUUAUUACGUUCGAGGCACUAGGAAAGAAUUUCCCAUUUCAAAGACAUGCAGUUUUCUGGAGUGGAUGACCUCUGCUCUAAACAUGAUACUAAUAAUAGUUGUUAUUAUUACCUAUAUCAACAGCAGUAUGGAUUGAAUUGUGUCUCCUCCAAAUUUAUGUGAUGAAAUUUGAAACUCCCAGCAUCACAUAAUAUGAUUAUAUUUGGGGGACAGGGUCUUUAGAGAGGUAAUCAAGGUCACUAUGGUUGCUGUCCUUAGCGAAAGGGGAAAGUUGCACAUAGACACAAGCAUAGAGUAAAGACGAUGUGGAGAGACUCAGGGAGAAGAUAGGCGUCUACAGCCAGGGAGAGGCCUGGAGCAGAGCCUCCCUCACAGAUGUCAGAAGAAGCCAGCCCUGCCACCACCUGGAUCUUGGACUUCUGGCCCACAGAACCGUGAGAUAAUCAAUUUCUAUUGUUUAAGCCACCAAGUCUGGGGUACUUUGUUGUGACAGCCAUGGUAAUGUAAUACAAAUAGGAAUAAUAUAUAUAUGGAAAUGUAGGCCUUCGCUACGUGCAAGGUAUGGUGAAAAUUGCUUUUAGUGCAGAAUCUUACUUAAAUCUCACCCAAACCUUCAUAUUACCAGCACUACUAAGAUUUAAAGAUUAAGAAACUUAUCCAAGACCAGACAGCUAGUAGAUGAGAAACCCAGGGUUCAAACCCACACCUGUGACUCUGGAGCCAUCACCUUUAACCAUCACUUUGUCUUAUUUUCCCCCAGGCUGAAAAAGUCCUUCCUACUCACUGGAUGUGAGUCCUGCGUGUCCCAUUGUAAACUGUCCCUCUGCCUCAAAUGUCAACAGCAACAUUGAAACAACAGUAUUUUUUUUUUCAAAUCAGUAUAAUAUUCAGAGGACAUUAAAUUAAGUAGGCAUUCUCAUAUUCUUGGUCUCCACAUAGCAGAAAAAUCUGUUAGAAUGAAGAAGGUAAUCUCAUUAGUGAGGUAUUACGUUGACCUGAGGAGCAAAUGCUGUUGUUGUUUCUGGCAACAGAGGAUUUUGUCCCUGAACAAAAGUUAGCCUGGCACUGUGAAGUAGGCUUUUAUAUGAACAGGUCACUCCUUGCAACAGCAACAAGUGUUGCUUCAGAAUGAGCCUGGCUCCUGCCAUGUGGGUCAGGGCUGACAGCAGGGAUUUCACAUGUGACAGAUGACUAAGGGUUUAUGUGGACAUGGAAGAUUUGAGGCUCCUUUCUGCCCCCAUCCUCUCACUGAGGCAAUUGAAGAUCUUUUUCUCCUAGCAGACCUAGAAAUUGUUUGCCAGUGGGGGCAGAAUGAGGGAGGGGCUUUGAAACUCAGUUGCUACAAGUUAGCGUGUACGUUUAGAUGAACUCAUGUUAACAAUAUACUUUUCCAGUGGAUCCAUUCCAGAUUAAACUGUGGUCUUUGAGUUUCUCAACUUCCUUUUUCUUAUUGUUUGAUAUUUAUUGCUUUUUAAAAAGAUUUGCUAAUCUUACACGCAAAACUUUCAGACAAAGACUUCAGGGAAUAAUCUUUCAUACAAAGAUUUCAGGCAAUAAAUUUCUAGUGUUUAUACAGCUAGCGAAUAGAACUUCUUCCUAAAAUUGUUUGAAGCCCAAAAUCUAAUGGCAAGAGAUUGGCUCUCAUUUUUGGUAGCCUUGAUUGAAGCCGAUUGAUUGAAUUGCUGUUCCUGUCAAUCUUGUGACAUUCUUACACUAAUGAGGUAAAAUAAAUGCUGAGUCCUGAGGUCACACCAGUCCUCGCUGCACAUGUCCUUCACCUGACUUGAUAUUUUGAAAUUUUUAUCCAUAAUGAGAAGUUGAGAUCUAUCGCCCCUUUUUGUGUGUGUGAAAAUAUGGCUGGUUUUACUCAUUGGUCUGUCCUUGUAAACAAUUACACUUUCUCAACAAUUGAGAUUCCAAACUGUGAGCCGACCCUUGCUUCCACAGAGAGAGGAGAUGGUAGAGAGGCAGGAAGCCAUGGAGUCCUGUGGGAUAACGGCCCCCAGAGGACAAGGCGACGUUAAAUGAUGGCAUGCAUGGUACCCAUCCAAUAAGUUCUAUUCUAGUUUUCCCCAUCGAUGGGCUUGACUAUGACCAGGGAAUCAUACAGCUUUGGAACAGAAAAGAAUCAUCUAGUUGUGGUCAAAUGUCACACUUUUUGGGAGAAAAACCUAGAGGUGAGGGAGACACAGUGACUUGUUCAAGGUCACAUAACUAGUAAAUGUCAACGCUGGGAUGAUAAACCGAGUCUUUUGGGCAUGAGUUCAGUAUUUUUCAACAGAAUUCACAUACUGCUAUUUCACAAAUUAGACCCAGUUUACUAAUUGUUGCCUUAUGCUAGAUCUUGAGAGGCAACAGCUGUGUUUGUCCUUAUCCUUUGACACCCAGAGCCUAGCACGGUACCUGGGGCACAAGAGAAACUCAAAUGUGUUUGCCAAAUUAAAGCACUAAGGAAUAAGCACAUUUCCUCUUAAUGAUCACUUUCAAAAUAAAUCUACUAUUCAUUUAGGAAUACUAAUAGCUUUGACCCUUCACUUGCUCACGAUUAUGGUUGCCUAAGGUUAAAAAUAAGGUAAGGUAAUGAAUGUAAAUUCAUCUCUGUCUGGCUCUUUGUUAUUGGUGAUAGUGAAAAGUUUCAUGGCAAAAGAAGAUACAAAUCAAUGAAAAAAAUGGAGUGGGGAGAUACCUUCUGUCUGUGCUGCGUGUGUUCCCCAUGAUCAUAAAUGGAGAAGUGGAGGCAAUAUUAACGAAAUGUGCACUUACAAAGCCUGUGCUCAGCAACUUUUGAUAAUAUUUAAGUCCAUUAGGGCCUACCCAUACAGUCAUAGAUCCGAAGAGGUCGAUUAAACUUUGAAGAGCUUGUUUAGCUUUGUUGCCUCCAGGAAGUCCGUAGGAAAAAGUAUCAGAAAAGCAUAAAACAAAAAAAAGUUAAAAAAAAAUUAUUUCUUCUAUGUGGUGUGGUUCCAAGAAAGGACUAUAACAGGCUUCUGCCCUAAAUUGAUCAGUGUAAGCUGACAUUUGAAGAUAAAGCAUAAAUACUCUAAGACUGUAACAUACUAUACCCAGAGUAGUAAGAACAAUUAAAAAUAGGCUCCUGGGGAAAAAAAAGAUUCCUAAAACUGAAGAGAAAUUCUCUUUUUCUAUUAUAUAAGCUAUAUACCAAUGUCCCUCAACUUAUGAUACAGUUACAUCUGGUAUGGUUUGGGUCUGUCUCUCUGCCAAAAUCUUAUUGCAAUCCCCACUGUUGGAAGAGGGGCCUGGUGGGAGGCUAUUGGAUCAUGGGGGUGGAUCUUCCCCUUGCUGUUCUUGUGACAGUGAGUUCUGGUUGUUGAAAAGUGUGUGGCACCUCCCGCUUCACUCUCUUCCUCCUGCUCCAGCCAUGUGCCUGCUUCCCCUUCGCCCGCACAUGAUUGAAAGUUUCCUGAGGCCUCCUGAGCCGUGCUUCCUGGAGAGCCUGUGGAACUGUGAGUCAAUUAAACCUCUUUUGUUUAUAAAUUAUCCAGUCUCAGGUAUUUCUUUAUAGCAGUAUGAGAAUGGACUAAUACACAUUCCUAUAAACCCAUUGUAAACUAAAAAUGUAAGUCGAAAAUGCAUUGAAUACACCUACCAAACGUCAUAGCUUAGCCUAGCCUACCGUAAACGUGUUCGGAAUACUUAACAUUAGCCUACAGUUGGGCAAAACCACCUCACACAAAGCCUGUUUUAUAAUAAUGAGUUGAAUAUCUCAUAUAAUUGACUGAACAGCCUCUUGAAAAUGAAACACGGAAUGGUUAUUUCAGCUCUGGAAAUACAGUUUCCACUGGAUGUGUGUUGCUUUUGUGCCAUUGUUAAGUCAAAAAAUCCUAAGGCAGGGCACAUCUGGGUUUUUUUUUUUUUUUUUUUUUUUGAGAAGGAGCUUCACACCAUCGCCCAGGCUGGAGUGCAGUGGCGCCAUCUCAGCUCACUGCAACCUCCGCUUCCCGGGUUCAAGAGAUUCUCCUGCCUCAGCCUCCUGAGUAGCUGGGACUACAGGUGCCCGCCACCAUGCCCGACUAAUUUUUGUAUGUGUUAGCUAGAGAUUGUAGCUGUGUGAGUGUGGUUUAUUUCAUACGGAACAGAAAUGUUUCUUUUAGUAGAGACAGGGUUUCACCAUGUUGGCCAGGCUGGUCUCGAACUCCCGACCUUGUGAUCUGCCCUUCUCGGCCUCCCAAAGUAUUGAGAUUACAGGCGUGAGCCACCGUGCCUGGCCCAUCUGGGGUUUUUUGUAGUGUAUCUUAGUUGCAAUCUAGAAGAAUCUGAUGAGUUUUCACUGUGUAGGCUUAUUAAGACUUGCUAUAUUUUUACUGUGUCCUUUACCUUCUUAAAAUGCAUUUAUAAUUUAAAAAGUCUGAUCUCAUGUAUAUAAACAAUCCUCAGAAAUAAUUUGAAUAUGUUCUAAGUAAAGUUAAUAAUUUUCAAUUAUACAAAGGCCAAUAGUGGGUUUAUUUUGUUUGUAUUCCAUGCAGACUUAAGUUGCUUGCAAGAUAAUCUGGGAAAUUGUAGGCUUUUUGGUGGUGUUAUAGAAUCCAGAAUUUGGGAGUCUCCACUGUAGACCAAAUGCUCUGGAGUACGUGAAAUUUGUCUAUCAGCAAAUCAACAGACUAGUUAACCUUUCUCCAGGCAGUGUCUCCCCUCCAGCCCUCAGGCAUUUUGCCUAAAUCCCAUUUCUUUUUCUCUGCCGGCUGUCUGCUAAUCCCUCGGAAAGUGUUAGCUGAUAACUUAAGGUGUGACCACUCUCAGGAGUAUUGCAUUUCAAAAGAGGCCUCCAAGAUAGAAAAUACUUCACUUAAAGGAGCUAGACAAGGAAGGAAGGUUGUUAUUUUUUAACCUGCUUGUAAGUUGAGUUCCAGGCCAUUUAACUCAGUCUUUAGCGAGAUCCUCUGUGAGCUUCCCCACUGCAUGAAUUUCCCUCCAAUUCUGAGAGCCAGUGACUCUGGACGGCACUUCCUCACUUGAAAGCAUCACAUCACAAUCAUUUCGGCCUAAAACUUAUUACUCAUCUGUGUUAGCUAGAGAUUGUAGCUGCGUAAAUGUGGCUUAUUUCAUCCAGAACAGAAACAUUAAAACGAUUCGACUCCUGCAGGACAUCUUAAUAGUGUGUGAAAGGAAGAAUUCAUAUUUCCAGAACUCUGUACCUGUUACAGCUCAGGCGGUCUAUGCUUUCAUAAACAUAGUGACAUAUUUUAUGCAUUGAUCUUAAAACCCUAUUACAAAUUCUAUUCCAUAUUUUCUUAGACAUUUGGACACACUUAAAGCUGAAGCAACCAUGUGUCAGGGUUCGCUCAUUAAGGUUUUCUGCUCAAAUCUGUAUGAACAAUGUAUAGAUGACAUAUACCUAUAUAUGUAAAUAUGUAUAUAGAUUAUGCCAGUAUCUUCCAUUUAUUCUCAUAUAAUUAGAGUUAUAACAACAAUGAUUUAUAUGUUCAAAAGCAAACAUUUAUUGAGUUUAUUCUGUGGUCAGCGGAUACUAGACAUUAGAUGUGCAGAUAGAAAUGUAUAUAGUUCAGGGCCCGGUGCAGUGGCUCAUGCCUGUAAGCCCAGCACUUCGGGAGGCCGAGGCAGGCAGAUCACGAUGUCAGGAGAUCAAGACCAUCCUGGACAACGUGGUGAAACCCAGUCUCUACUGAAAAUACAAAAAUUAGCUGGUGUGGUGGCGCUCGCCUGUAAUCCCAGCUACUUGGGAGGCUGAGGCAGGAGAAUCGCUUGAACCCGGGAGGCAGAAGUUGCAGAGAGCCAAGAUUGCGCCACUGCACUCCAGCCUGGGCGACAGAAUGAGACUUCAUCUCCAAAAAAGAAAAAAAAAAAAUAACAGAGCUUUAGGUUAUGAGGGGUUUUGUCUCCUCAUCCCAUUUCAGUUUUUCUGAAAAAGUGAAGACACUUAACUAUGCUCACAAUUUCAGGAAAUAUGCUCAGUUUUCAGUUUCUUCAGCUCUUACAGUUACAACUAUCUAAUCUUUAUUUGGGUUGGUCAAAGACUGCAGCCAACAAUCUGAGAAUAUGCUUCCUAAAGUGGCUUUGUCUUGUAUAUUUAAUUGAGGAAGGUAUAUUUUAUAUUCACACAUGCACAUGUGACUUCUAUCUUCAGAUAUCAAUGGUCAAACUUAGGAAGUGCAGCAGAGGUGAAGGAGUAGUCAGCUUUCUUCCCACUUGCUCUUGCAAAUUGGUUGUGAUCUGUACCCAUGGGUAAACAUCUAUUUUGGCACACAUACAAAAAUAAAAUCAGAAUCUAGAGUUGGUAAAAUUUGAUGAAUGAUUCCUAGUAAUUUAGUUUUCACUUACAACUCUAGAAAUUUUUUAAAUCUUUUCUGCAUAACAAUAUUGUUUUUUAAGUUUUGGGUAUAAAAAAAUGACAUUCUCCCUGAAACAAGCAGGCAGCUCUCCAUUCAGCAGAAAGUUAUGCAAUAAGAUAUAAGGGAUUGCAGAGACGUUCUCCAUCCUCCUCUCUCUCUCUCCCUUCUAAGGGGAAAACCUCCUAAGUUACCUUGGGCAGGUGCCUACAUUUGGUACUCCUGGACAGCUCAGCCAUCUGCCAAGAAACAAUUCUAUAUAGAUGCCUGACCUGCUCAGUUCAGAAGGAGUUUUCUUCUGACUGCUGCUAAAUAAGCCGACUGAAUGAUACAUUUAUUUGUUAAUGGAUACUCUUUUUUGGCUCUCAAUUUAAAAACAUUUUUUAAUGGGCAAUUGAAAAAUAUACAGAUGAAGAGGCCAUGGUCUAAUGAGAAGCCAUGGAGUCAUCACCCAGCUUCAGCAGCUAUAAACUCAGGAUCAGUCUUGUUUCACCUAGAGCUACAGUAGAGAAACAAAGUGUUUGGAAAACUGGAGAAUCAACAAUCUUGGUGAGCAGUGUGUGUGUGUGUGUGUGUGUGUGUGUGUGUGUGUGUGAGAGAGAGAAAUCUGUAGGUUUGGGGCUUUAUUGUUUUUCCUAAUAUGUAAUAUAGCUUGUGCAUCCAUAUAAUAUUAUUAUUGGAAGUAUGGCUCCAAAAAAUUUUAGGCCUAUAUUUUAAUUUUAAACUUAAUGACUAAAUGUGUAUAUUUUCAAGAUAUCAGAUAUCCACAUGUAAACAAAAAAUACGGUCAACUUUCUGGAAGUUCAUAUCUCUAGAUAGCUAUCUCUGUGUGGAUAAAACAUCUAGUUUAUGUUUAACAAUGAAUGAAGAAUGGGCUCUGGUCAUAGCUGAACAGGGAACCUGGGGUUUGGCCACUUCAGGGUGACCUCAGGCAAGUCAUUAAAUCAGUUACUUGGGUUUAUACUUUCCUGUUUCUUUCAUUUAUUUAUUAAACAUAUAUUGAGUGGAUUACUUUCUACCAGGCACUGCAGAGAACAAAACAAAUAAAUCGCCUUUCUAGAUAUAAAGUGGCUCCAGUCCAGAGGGGAUGAGAGUAGAGGCUGGAUAUUCUGUCCCUAACCUUUUUGGCACCAGGGACUGGUUUCAUGGAAGACAACUGUUCCACAGACCACUGGGGGUGGGGAGAUGGUUUUGGGAUGAUUCAAGUGCGUGCUUUAUUUUUAUUAUUAUUAUAUCGUAAUAUAUAAUGACAUAAUUAUACAAGUCACCGUAAUGUAGAAUCAGUGGGAGCCCUGAGCUUGUUUUCCUGCAACUAGACAGUCCCAUCUGGGGAUGAUGGGAGACAGUGACAGAUCAUCAGGCAUUAGAUUCUCAUAAGGAGUGCACAACCUAGAUCCCUCGCAUGCACAGGUCACAAUAGUGUUUGUGCUCCAAUGUUCCUGAAUCUAAUGCAAGUGCUGAUCUGACAGGAGGCGGAGCUUAGGUGGUAAUGCUCCCCGUGGCUUGUGGCUCAUCUUCUGCGGUGCAGCCAGUUCCUAACAGGCCAUGGACCUGGUACCAGUCCAUGCCCUGGAGCUCGCGGACCCCUGCUCUAAAGCUACUUCCGGCGCUGGUAGUAUGUUUUUAAUUAUUUCUUUUAUGUUAAUUUUAUUUUCCAAAUAAUUCCCUAUUCUCCAAUAAUUACAGGAUAAAACCUUUAGUCUAAUAUUUGAGAUUUACCACACUGUUGUUCAAAUCUGCCUUCCCAACUUACAAUUCUACUUCUCCCCUGCUAAAAUUAUUCUCUCUAGUUACAAUGAGUUGUGGACAGGAAGUUUGCUUCAUUCAUCUUUGUAUCCACAAUACCUAACAUAAUAUCUGACCCAGUGUAGAUGCUCAAUAAAUGAUUAAUGAGUAGUAGAUAAAUGGAAGCCUCAGUCUAUCUCCUUUCUUGUCUUAUAAUAUUAUACCUUGAGUAUGUGGAAAAAAGUACUGAAAAUCUUUGAUUCUUUCAAGGUGCCCAGGGUAUGAUUUAUCUAGAGGAUCUUGAAUUAAUAGCUAGAUUUCAUUUCCAAUUUAUGAAACAGAUUUCAGGGUCUUUCAGGAACUAAUAAUUUUUGAAAAUUACUUACUCAGCUUCCAAAGGUUUUAUCAGUCAUGAUAAAGGUAUACUAUGAUACUUGCUGAUUACAUACAAUUUCAAGUAUUUAGAUGUUUGGAAAUACGUGGAUGUUAUUAGUACUAUGUACAUAAAAUUUGUUUUUGAAUGUCCUUACAAUCUUGAUAGUUCUUUAGAAGAAAAUUUAAAAUGAUUUUACUAACUCUGCUUCAUCUAACAUAAAAUCCUGAAAACCUCAAAUGAUAGUACUCCUUGUGCCUAGAGCUGCUGGAAAGCACCUCUGAAGCACUGUCAUGGAGUUUGUGUUUUUCGAACCUUAUAAUGAACAGCGAAGUGGGAAGUUUCCAGGCUUAGGUGUUCUUUCACGAGGAGGAAGUUGGGUUUAACACCCGUCUUAGUAGUGCUGUACAGAGAGCAAUAAACAAGCCAUAAUGUGGUUUAUUUGGGUUAACCUAUUAGCCAUGUAACCUAAAAGCUUGAACCACAUGGAAAAUAGACAUGAUGAGGUGAGAAGCAAAUAUGACAACCAAGAAAAGACAGGGAUUGUGACAGCCGCAGUGAUGGACGGCGGGCCUUGAAACACAGUGAGGUGGCCCGAAGCUGGCCCCGCUGGGCCUCAGGCUCCCGGCCCAGCCUCUUGGGGCUUUUGUUUCCUCUUCCAUGAAGCAGAGGAUUGUGCCGAUUGCUCUGCGCCUUCAUAUGUGUGAAGCUCCCAUGUCAGUGCCUGGCACAUGGCUGGUGGGAUAUGUUUUCUUUUAUUACUGUACAAAUGAAUUUGAUAACAGGCUGGUUACUCAGAGCCAGCUUUGUGACACCUUACUUGUCUGUAUAUUUUGCUCUUUGUUCAGUUCAUUCAUUCAUCCAUAGAUAAACAUUUUAAAUAACUAUUCAAUUGCAUAUCAUGAAUAUUUAUUAUCUGCUCUGUAACAGCAGUGUGUGAGGUGCUACAUCUUUUAUGUAAGAUCUGGAGAGUGACUCUCCCCACCUGGGCUCCGUAGGUUAUGGGAGGGUCAGGCACAGCACUCCCACCAAGCUAUCUGCUGGGGCAUGAGCUGGGGUAACCUCGAGGAGAGGCCCCUGCUCUAAAGUACACACCUACCAUGUGGCUGUCAUUCUGCUCACAG
rnacentral:lncRNA from 1 species